rnacentral:rRNA from 1 species
UACGUAGGGUGCGAGCGUUGUCCGGAAUUAUUGGGCGUAAAGGGCUCGUAGGCGGUCUGUCACGUCGGGAGUGAAAACACGGGGCUUAACCCCGUGCCUGCUCCCGAUACGGGCAGACUAGAGGUAUGCAGGGGAGAACGGAAUUCCUGGUGUAGCGGUGAAAUGCGCAGAUAUCAGGAGGAACACCGGUGGCGAAGGCGGUUCUCUGGGCAUUACCUGACGCUGAGGAGCGAAAGUGUGGGGAGCGAACAGG